GGCUCUCAUCUCCUUCACUUUCCAAACCCACACACUACUCUCACAUUGAUAACUUCUCUCAAACUCCCGAUAACUUCUCAUUGUGCUUCGACAUAUAUAAGUUCAAAUUGGUCAAACUGACAAGGUGAAAUUGAGCCCGUGAUGCCAAGUUUGGAUUCCGAUGAUCAUACAUUGUAUGAGAGUAGAUCAAGGCUAGACUUGAGGAGCUGAUGCGAGCAAGUAUUAUGACCUUUUGAUGGCGGUACUACUAAUGUACCUUAUAUAGGUGUGCUUGACCG